AUAAAGAUAAGCUAAAAAAGCUUUUUGAUUCAUACUCUUAAUAUAGAUUAAUUCUUCUUUAUA
rnacentral:tRNA from 1 species